UACGUAGGGUGCAAGCGUUAAUCGGAAUUACUGGGCGUAAAGCGUGCGCAGGCGGUGAUGUAAGACAGUUGUGAAAUCCCCGGGCUCAACCUGGGAACUGCAUCUGUGACUGCAUCGCUGGAGUACGGUAGAGGGGGAUGGAAUUCCGCGUGUAGCAGUGAAAUGCGUAGAGAUGUGGAGGAAUACCGAUGGCGAAGGCAGCCCCCUGGGCCAAUACUGACGCUCAUGCACGAAAGCGUGGGGAGCAAACAGG
rnacentral:rRNA from 1 species